UUUAUUGGAGAGUUUGAUCCUGGCUCAGGACGAACGCUGGCGGCGUGCCUAAUACAUGCAAGUCGAGCGAAUCUGAGGGAGCUUGCUCCCGAAGAUUAGCGGCGGACGGGUGAGUAACACGUGGGUAACCUGCCUGUAAGAUUGGGAUAACUCCGGGAAACCGGAGCUAAUACCGGAUAAUAUUUCGAACCGCAUGGUUCGAAGUUGAAAGGUGGCUUUUGCUACCACUUACAGAUGGACCCGCGGCGCAUUAGCUAGUUGGUGAGGUAACGGCUCACCAAGGCGACGAUGCGUAGCCGACCUGAGAGGGUGAUCGGCCACACUGGGACUGAGACACGGCCCAGACUCCUACGGGAGGCAGCAGUAGGGAAUCUUCCGCAAUGGACGAAAGUCUGACGGAGCAACGCCGCGUGAGCGAAGAAGGCCUUCGGGUCGUAAAGCUCUGUUGUUAGGGAAGAACAAGUACCGUUCGAAUA
rnacentral:rRNA from 1 species